rnacentral:rRNA from 1 species
UACGUAGGGGGCGAGCGUUAUCCAGAUUUACUGGGCGUAAAGCGCGUGUAGGCGGCUGGUUAGGUGUGAUGUGAAAUCCUCGGGCUCAACCCGAGAACUGCAUUGCAAACCGGCCUGGCUAGAGUGCAGGAGAGGGAAGCGGAAUUCCAGGUGUAGCAGUGAAAUGCGUAGAGAUCGGGAGGAACAUCAGUUGCGAAGGCGGCUCUCUGGACCAGCACUGACACUGAGGCACGAAAGCGUGGGGAGCAAACAGG